ACAGCCAUCGAAUAAAAGAAUGGAAAUCUACCUGACCGAGAUGCAUCAGGAGUUGGAAAAAAGUAUAAAUAGAAAACUUAAUGAAGCUGCAGCUGAACUUGAAUCUGAGUUCUGCAGAGUUU